CAGCAGCCGCGGUAACACAGAGGGUGCGAGCGUUAAUCGGAUUUACUGGGCGUAAAGCGUGCGUAGGCGGCUUCUUAAGUCUGAUGUGAAAUCCCUGAGCUUAACUUAGGAAUUGCAUUCGAUACUGGGAAGCUAGAGUAUGGGAGAGGAUGGUAGAAUUCCAGGUGUAGCGGUGAAAUGCGUAGAGAUCUGGAGGAAUACCGAUGGCGAAGGCAGCCAUCUGGCCUAAUACUGACGCUGAGGUACGAAAGCAUGGGGAGCAAACAGGAUUAGAUACCCCUGUAGUCCCUGUCUCUUAUAC
rnacentral:rRNA from 1 species